rnacentral:rRNA from 1 species
UAAGGAAUAUUGGUCAAUGGACGCAAGUCUGAACCAGCCAUGCCGCGUGAAGGAUGAAGGUCCUCUGGAUUGUAAACUUCUUUUAUAGGGGGCGAAAAAAGGGAAAUCUUUCUCACUUGACAGUACCCUAUGAAUAAGCACCGGCUAACUCCGUGCCAGCAGCCGCGGUAAUACGGAGGGUGCAAGCGUUAUCCGGAUUCACUGGGUUUAAAGGGUGCGUAGGCGGGCGUAUAAGUCAGUGGUGAAAUCCUGGAGCUUAACUCCAGAACUGCCAUUGAUACUAUAUGUCUUGAAUAUGGUGGAGGUAAGCGGAAUAUGUCAUGUAGCGGUGAAAUGCAUAGAUAUGACAUAGAACACCUAUUGCGAAGGCAGCUUACUACGCCUAUAUUGACGCUGAGGCACGAAAGCGUGGGGAUCAAACAGGAUUAGAUACCCUGGUAGUCCACGCCCUAAACGAUGAUUACUCGACGUGUGCGAUAAACGGUACGCGUCUGAGCGAAAGCAUUAAGUAAUCCACCUGGGGAAGUACGACCGCAAGGUUGAAACUUAAAUGAAUUGACGGGGUCAUAGCUGUUUCCUG